rfam:Oryza sativa (indica cultivar-group) chromosome 3, whole genome shotgun sequence.
GUUGCUUCACGACUGGAUGAAUGGCCUGAUGAUAUAAUUGUUUGGUCAUUCUGUAGAGAGAAGCAUAGAUUGAUUUCGGCCAGAAUUAAACAGCAUGGCGCCUUGUUACACCGCGUCAGUGUUACCUGUCUCCUGGCACAUCC